UACGUAGGGUGCAAGCGUUGUCCGGAAUUAUUGGGCGUAAAGAGCUCGUAGGCGGUCUGUCGCGUCUGCUGUGAAAACUCGGGGCUUAACCCCGGGCCUGCAGUGGGUACGGGCAGACUAGAGUGCGGUAGGGGAGACUGGAAUUCCUGGUGUAGCGGUGAAAUGCGCAGAUAUCAGGAGGAACACCAAUGGCGAAGGCAGCACUCUGGGACGUGACUGACACUGAGACGCGAAAGCGUGGGGAGCAAACAGG
rnacentral:rRNA from 1 species